CAACUGAGCAUGCGCCAGAAGUUGGUGCCGCAGAAAGCAGCGGUGAUUCGGCAAAGCACCGUUACUAAACCGAAAAUACUGGUGUUUUUAGUUGAUCAUAACGAUGUUUUAAACCAUGCCUUUUGUUCGAGUUUGUGGAGAUGUGUCGAGGAGAGGCUGCCCUAUGCUGCAUUAGUGCCUGUGUGAAAUGCUGGCCUGUCUGCCAGUAACAGGUGACCUUUCCCUCCGGCUUCUCUCCCACACGCAGAUGAACACUGGACUUCAGAAAUGGGACACUACACAGAAAAUGAGAUCUGCACAGUAUCCAACCCCAGCGGAACUGGAUGCCUAUGCUAAGAAAGUUGCCAACAGCCCGCUGACGAUAAAGAUCUUCCCAAACAGCGUCAAGGUUCCCCAGCGGAAGCACGUGCGCCGCACCGUCAACGGCCUGGACACGUCCAGCCAGCGCUACAGCCCGUACCCCGCCCCGGCCAGCGCCAGGGCCGGCCUGCUCGCCGUCGUCAAGGGCCCCCUCAAAGGGAUCCUCAAAGGCUUCGAGGGCGGCCGGGCGCGUCUGCUCUCCGAGGUCGCCAUGAACCCCCCCUCCGGGCCCUACGGCUCCCAGAGCACUUUAAACCUCCCCCAGACUGUCCCCCACCCCCAGGGCCUCCCCCGGGGCCGUGCCCUCCCCCCGCAGCAGGGCCUGGGGCACCCGCAGAGCCUGCAGCAGCAGCAGCAGGGCCUGUCCCAUCCCCAGAGUCUGCAGCAGCAGCAGCAGCAGCAGCAGCAGCAGCAGCAGCAGGGCCUGUCCUGUGCCCAGACCUUACACCAGCAGCAGCAGCAACAGCUGCAGCGCCAACAGACCCUGCAGCAAACGCUGCAGCAGCAUCAACAAAAGCUGCAGCAACAGGCGCUGCAGCAGCAGCAAACGAUGCAGCAGCAAACGAUGCAGCAGCAGCAGACGAUGCAGCAACAGCAAUCGUUGCAACAGCAGUCAAUGCAGCAACAACAAUCGUUGCAGCAGCAGUCAAUGCAGCAGCAGCAAACGAUGCAGCAGCAGGCUCUGCAGCGCCAACAGACUUUGCAGCAGCAGCAGCAGCAGCAGCAGCAGCAGCAGCAGACACUGCAGCAGCUGCAGGCGGGCCUGCCCCACCCGCAGACGUUACAGCAGCCGCCGGCUCCGCAGGGCCCCAGGCACCUCCCCGGCAUGGCCCAGCACCCGCAGGCCGCGGCCCAAGCACAGAGCCUCCAGCACCCCGCCGGCCUGGGCCCCCUGCCCCCCGGCGUCCUGCACGGCCCCAGGAAGCUGGCGGACGGCGACGCCCCGCCCAACGUGACCGUGUCUACCUCCACCAUCCCGCUGUCCAUGGCGGCGGGGCGGCAGCAGGGCCGGCGGGCGGACCUGAGCAGCAUCGUGCUGCAGAUCAGCCAGUUCUGCCAGCCGCGGGCCGGCGCCAGCGCUACCUCAGUGUGCGAGGGGCAGAUCGCCAACCCCAGCCCCAUCAACCGCAACCUGCUCAUCAACGCCAGCUCCCGCGUGUCCGCCCAGCACCCCGGCGCCCUGCCGGCCUGCGCCCUGGGCCCCGCCGACAAGCCGCCCGCCGCCGCCAACCGCAUGCCCGUCUACCACCCUGACGUGAAGCAGCAGCGGGGCUGGACCCAGCACCACCUCGCCCACCUGCAGCAGCACCUCUCCGAGGAGGGCCACCCCUGCGCCCGGCUGCCCGUGAGCUUCCCCCCGCAGGACCCGUGCGCCGGCCAGCCCUACAGCCUCAAGCCCCCGGCCGAGAAGCCCACGCCCUCCCCGCCCGUCAACGGCAUGCCGCCGGGGGUGGUGCCCUACGGCAACGGGCACUACUUCCAGCCCGUGUGGAACGGCGUCCUGCCCACGCCCAACAGCGACGGCUCCGGCUCCCAGGACCUGGCCAUGCCGUUCCACGGGGGCCCACCGGGGGGCGCUGUGGACUGCGGCCCGGGACCCCAGUACAGGGCCGGCGCCGGCUCCUCUGGCCAGACUAACGUGAUGCAGAGCAUGGAGUACAUGGGCGGGGAGUACCAGCCGCCCUGCUUCCGAGACCAGAGCCUGGGCAUGCACAGGCCCCCUAUGGGCAGAGCUCCAGAGCCGGGAGACGCUAGAAAUACUCAUAUUCAGGUUCCAGGGUACAGAUAAGCUACAAUUUUUUGUGUGUACACUUAUCGAUCUUUUAGUCUUAAGAAAUACAUAAAAAUGAAUGAAUUAAAAUGAAGCUAACUUAAAAAUGAAAAAAAAAGUAUAUAUAUACAUAUCUAUAUAUAUUUAAGAGCAAGCAGUGUUUUCGUUGUUGUCAAUCUUGCAAGUGAUCAAUUGAAACGUUUUCUAAAUAACGACGCUCCUUAAUAUUACUUGCUUGGUAGAGAAACGAGCCGUUUUCUCCUGCGUUUUAAAUCGGCUUCAUUUCCCAUUUUUUCUCGCCGUCUAUCAUCCAUGUUAUAGUGCACCCGCGUCCGUUUCCAUUUCAUUUGGCUUCCAAGCUAGGAGCAGCUGGAAGUGUAUUAAUCCUGGUGGUGGUGGUGGUAUUAUUAUUAUUAUUAUUAUUAUUAUUAUUAUUAUUAUUUUGUCACGACACGUUUUUGCACAGAUGCGUAACUGCUCAGUGCUGUUGGUGUUCUCCUGCCAUGCGGGCCCAUGAAGCUCCGUCUGUAUCUGCUGUUGUUGACGGUGGCACAAGCCCUAUUCGGCACCGUCUCCCACCGACACGCCUUUUCCUAGUCCUCACCCGCGCUGAACCAGCCAAAAACGUCUCCUGACCGUUCAGCGCGACUGCCUCACCCAAACGCAAUUUGCCAAAGCUUUUCCACCCCAGUAUGAAUUUAUACACUGAGAAUAUUGCUGGACCUCAAAUCGACUUUGCAUAGGUUAACCAGGCAAUAAAACGGACGCAGACGUGAGCGUUGGGCAGGGUGUCUGCCCUUCCACACAAGAUAUCCUAUUGUUGCAGUCGUUUUUAGCGGCAUUGGUGUGCGCUGAUAAGGACGUUGUCCGCACUUGAAAUGUCAUGUUAUCAUUUAAAUUCAGCCGUUACUUAAAAUGAAACGUAGCAUAUACUGAUGUGAACUUUAAGCAGUUGGUCAUGGUUAUAAAAAGAAAUAUAUACAUAUAUUAUAUACAUGCAUGGCCAUGUUCUAUCCUCAGACAGUGGUCCUUCAUAAAUCCUUUUGAUUGUGUUAGUUGUACCUGCCACACAAUAACAUGUCGUAUUUUGCUUUGAAUUCCACCUUAGUGAGUUCAGAAAAUGUGUGCUCUCAACCAGUAGUUUUGCUGAAAUAUACCGUUAGAAUUGUGUUUUUAUGAGGGGGAAUGAGCCAAGAGAUGCAUAAAAUGUAACAGUUUUCAGAAGAAAAGUAUAUUGAGGCAUGGUGGAUUUAGAUGUCCAUGCCUGUGUAUGUUUUCUCCUUUGACCAAUUUUAAUGGGACUGCUGACCUUUCCCCCUUAAGUUUACAUUUUAUUUUAUUUGCUCUUUAGUAAGAAUCAAAUGUUAAUUUGGCUCUCCAGAGGACAUAAACUGACACUUUGUACAUGUUUAGUGUUAAUACAUGUUUAUUAUUACUACUUCUUAUUUAAGUUAUUUUUGAAAGGGGACUGUUAAAUAUGUUCAAUCAGGUCGAUGGCCAAGACUGGUUCUCGCUUAAGUGAAGCUAUCUCAUAUCAGGUGUUUGUACAGACGAUUAGCACCCUUGGGAAAGGAGGGAAGUUGACGUUCUCUCAAACACUACAAUGCAGGAACAAAUUCAGGCGUCCGUCUACAUGGAGUUUCUCAUGCAUUCAAGUACCGCCAAGUUCAUUGGUAUUGUGCAACAUUGUUGUUGUUUUUUUCUUUGUUUUUUUGAGUGGGACAGCCUCGUGUUUGAAAACAACUUUGGAAGUUGUAGCAUUCUUUUUUUGUCAUUUUAACAAAAACUUGAAUUACUGAAAUGUGAGAGAUGGGGUUGGUUUGUUGGGUUGGGAGUUAAACAUUUGGAAGACUAAACUUUCUGCCAAACCUGACAUAGUAUCUAACAGAUUAGUACUAAUCAUAAGUACAAGCCAAAUCAAUCUUUUUAUAUUUUUUCCGCUUUUUGCUAAAAUAAUGUAAGUUAGACUUAGUUGCUACUAAUAUGUAAAUGAAGAGUUACCCCGACCAUAUGUGAAAAAAGCAAAUUGAUCACUUGCAACUGCAGGAAGUUAAAGAGGACUUUCUCAGAAGCAGAAGAGCAAAUAUAUUGUUUAUUUUAAUGUACACUGGUUUCAUUACUUUUACUACUGUGUUUUAAAAGGAACUAUUCUCUGAAUGUUGCCGGUGACUGUGGGUUUGUGUAGCGUUUGUGGGCAGACCCACACAGUCUCCCUCCCAGACAACCCUCAAAAAAAGCCUUAAGUAUUUGGUCCUGGGACUUGAAAACAAGCAUGUAUUGAUGGAAAGUGAUGGCAAAUUGACAGCAUACGUUUCCUUCAGUUAAUAAUUCAUUAGAAGUACAAUGAUUUCUUAAGUGACACGGAAAUAAAUGAGUGGUAUUUUAUUGUAAUUACGUUUUAUACUGUAGAGGUCUGUGUAGUCAUGGGCUGUAACAAAUGUCAAGAUCUCAAAGCUUAUUUUUAUUUCCUUUGCAUUUUCAGACUUUACUCUUUAAUUUGUUAUUUAACAUGAUUAUAGUCUUAAUUUGCUUUUGCAGACAAAAAUAGGGCAGUGACUUAUUUUUGAUAUUUCAAGGUUGGAGCACAUUAGAUAUGAAGUGGAAUACAGAUGGAAUAUUCAAACCUUACUCAAUUGAAUUAAAAAUGCACAAGUACAUAUUUUUUUUUUUUUUGAGCAAAAACCUGGACACAAAUCUUUAUUGAAACAUGGGUUUUAUCUCAUUGCUCCCCGUGUCCCUCUUCUUUCUUUUUUUUUUUUGCCCUUUUGUUGCCUCCAAUGUGCCUUGCCCCAUAGACUGUGGUCGUAUGGCAAACAAGUCGAGUCUAGGAUCUGUGCCACCUUUUUACUCCCAACACUGCUGUGACAAAAAAAAAAAAUAAAUUUAAAAUGUAUGUUCUUCAGGGCAGUCCUAGAAAGAUGUGACAUUUAGGUAACAUGUUACCAGGAUGAACGUCAUUCCUUGAAGUGUACAAGUGGGGUGUGAGAUGGUCAACUGGAAUGGAACAGGUUCUGACCAGUUUCUGUAAGUUUAGUUCACCAGGCUUAAAACCCAUUAAUUUUAGAGGAGUUCCCCUUUAUGCUCCGACCUGCCCCUUAAACCUCAAGCGUGUGUCAUUUCCCCCGGUUUUAAUGAAGACUUCUCACAGCCUGAACGGGAGGGGGAAUAAAGCUUGCUUAUUGCAUUUGUUUCUGUUAAUCAUGUGAUGUUGCCUCCACUGGAUUCAGUCAUGGAAAUAAUGUGUGUUGUGUGUUUGGCACUCACACACACACACACACACACACACACACACACACACACACACACACAUAUUGCAAUGUUCAUAGUGGGAGGAGGCUAGUAUACUUGACUACUGAUACUGUGUUCCUUAACAGAAUUCCUAAUGUGUUACGGGUAACAAAUAAAAUAUUUAAAUUGGUGUAAGCUGUGUUCACAAGUGACAGGUGUUUUUGUCCCCCUGAGCCUGGCGAUAGAGGUGAGGUUUGGUGGAUGUUUCAGAGCUGGGGUCCUCUUCCCCCUGAGACUGGCGAUAGAGGUGAGGUUUCAGAGCUGGGGUCCUCUUCCCCCUGAGACUGGCGAUAGAGGUGAGGUUUCAGAGCUGGGAUCCUCUUCCCCCUGAGACUGGCGAUAGAGGUGAGGUUUCAGAGCUGGGUUCCUCAGGGAUUACGCUGACAUGACUGUGGCCAGAGUGCCUGAGUACAUUAAUUUCUGAGGAAUUCUGUGAAGCACAUUUCUUUUUCUCCCCCCUCCCCCCCCCCAAAAAAAAAGCCUGUCAGUCAUACCUUUUCAGCUUGUAUGACCUUUAAAAAAAUGAAAUAAAAUGGCCGCCGGGUGAGCUUGCUGUCUGGUUUGUCCAGUGUGCAGGGCAUUGUCAGGCGGCGCCCUGCCUCCCUCUGCAGAAUUCUCUGAAAUGUUAUCUAGGGUGGGGGUAUAACAUUCUCCGUCGUGUAGUUCUUUUCUUUUUUCUUUUUUCCUCCUCCCUUGUUCUCCUGUUUUUGAGAGGCAUUGUGUGUUGCACAAACAUUCCCUUCUAACCAAAAUAAAGUAUGACUUGCAUUUGUACAACUCUUGUUA